rnacentral:rRNA from 1 species
GUAGGUGGCAAGCGUUGUCCGGAAUUAUUGGGCGUAAAGCGCGCGCAGGCGGUUCUUUAAGUCUGAUGUGAAAGCCCACGGCUCAACCGUGGAGGGUCAUUGGAAACUGGAGAACUUGAGUACAGAAGAGGAAAGCGGAAUUCCACGUGUAGCGGUGAAAUGCGUAGAGAUGUGGAGGAACACCAGUGGCGAAGGCGGCUUUCUGGUCUGUAACUGACGCUGAGGCGCGAAAGCGUGGGGAGCAAACAGGAUUAGAUACCCUGGUAGUCCACGCCGUAAACGAUGAGUGCUAAGUGUUAGGGGGGUUUCCGCCCCCCUUAGUGCUGCAGCUAACGCAUUAAGCACUCCCGCCCUGGGAGUACGGCCCGCAAGGCUG